AUUGAACGCUGGCGGCAGGCCUAACACAUGCAAGUCGAGCGGAUGACGGGAGCUUGCUCCUUGAUUCAGCGGCGGACGGGUGAGUAAUGCCUAGGAAUCUGCCUGGUAGUGGGGGACAACGUUUCGAAAGGAACGCUAAUACCGCAUACGUCCUACGGGAGAAAGCAGGGGACCUUCGGGCCUUGCGCUAUCAGAUGAGCCUAGGUCGGAUUAGCUAGUAGGUGAGGUAAUGGCUCACCUAGGCGACGAUCCGUAACUGGUCUGAGAGGAUGAUCAGUCACACUGGAACUGAGACACGGUCCAGACUCCUACGGGAGGCAGCAGUGGGGAAUAUUGGACAAUGGGCGAAAGCCUGAUCCGGCCAUGCCGCGUGUGUGAGGAAGGUCUUCGGAUUGCAAAGCACUUUAAGUUGGGAGGAAGGGCAGUAAGUUAAUACCUUGCUGUUUUGACGUUACCGACAGAAUAAGCACCGGCUAACUCUGUGCCAGCCGCCGCAGUAA
rnacentral:rRNA from 1 species